rnacentral:lncRNA from 1 species
UUUGAUUUAUUUUCAAACCUAUAUUAACCUGUUGGACCUAGAAUGUGGAGUGUGUGCAAAGGUCAUUAUGUUGUGCCUGAAGUUUGGUGAUGAGUUUUCUAGUUCGAAUUCCGAUGCAUAUAUAUCUGAUGGAAAGCUCAUGGUGGUUUUGGGUGCUGAGUAUGCAAAACUAUGUUGUUCUUUGAAGUUGUAUCCCUUGGUGAGGUG